AUAUAAGCAGCGAUUUAAUAUCAAAUCUGCAGUUGCACAUUUCGUUAGAAGGUGGAAAAUUUAUCGAACCUAAUCUAUGUUAAAUAUCAUUUAAAACAGAGUUGAACGAUUUUUUAAUUCUUCAUUUAGAAAAUCUGCCCCAAAUCAAAGGUUUGACAUUCUGACAUACACGUGCAAAGUCCCACAGGAUCAAAAAAAGAGAAGGAAAACAAAUAGAAAAAGAAAUUACAAAAAUUAUAAUAUGUAUAUUAUUAUAUAUAGAAGAGAUCACAGAGGACUAUAUUAUUAUAUUGAAUUCCAUUGAUUGACAAUAGAACAGAUGAAAUUGUUAUAUGUGGUAAUGAAAAGGAUAAGCUCGUUGAAAAUCAACGUAAACUUAAGUAUAAAUUGCACUCAUGCAACCUCGUAAAAAUACUUUAUUAGACGCAAGAGUCGUUGUUACAUUGUUGUACGUUACCCAGGCGCGUAUAUUUAUAAAAUAUAUAUAUUAUAUUAAUUAAAAUGUAAGAGUACAUCAAUCGCAUCCUAACUAUAAGAAAAUGGAAAAAUGCAAACCAUUAAAACAUUAUUGUAUUGAUGAAUUCAUGAUGAAAUCAUUCAUAUUAAUGGUACAUACGUUUCGCAUGUUUGGGAGGGUUUAACAAAAUUGUACGUAAUGUUAUUAAUUCAUUGGAAGUGAGAGAUAGGUUUAGAUUGUUAAUGUGGUAUAGUGUAUCGGGCAAACGGAAGCGUAUGUAAAAAAAUUAAUUAAAAAUUAGAGAAAAGAAAUUAUAAUAACAGAAAACAUUGGUCGAGAUUGUUAUUAUUACGAUAGAAAUAGCUAAUAGCAGCUCGGGGACAAAGAAAAAUAUUGAGUACCUUGUUGAGUAUAAGUAGUCUAUCGCUCAGUCACACAUACCAAUCGCUCACACAGAAAGGAAAACACAAACACAUAUUUAAUAAUAAUAUUCGCACAUUUUUACACACUUAGGCAGGUUCAAUGAAAUAUUCAACUGUCGUCUUAAUGUUGUACUAUGUCUCUGUUUAUAUUUCCAUUGAGCACUGUUGACCGAAACUUUUCCAAGUAAUUUUUGUGGCAUUGUUGCGUGUUAUUUCUGGUUUAAAAUCACUAUUAUUUAGCAUUCUAUUAUCAAACACAGAAAUGUGAUUACAAUACUAAUUAACUGGCUGCACAGGUGAAGCCAGGAAAGUAUUCGUCACAGAUACAGUACUAUUAAGUAUUGUACCUUACAUUCCUUUUGGCUAUAAUGUAAUUUAAGAAACUGAUCUUGUGCAUGUUCUCAUAUCUAUUUUUUGACUUAUGAACGAUGCUUCGUACCGUACGUACGUCUACCACUUCCACAUUAAAAUAUAAUACACAUAUUCUCACGAUAAAAGAAUUCAUGAAAAUUUUCAAGAAUUGAUGCGGGCUAUCAUUUCUGCUACAUUAGUCGCAUAUAUACGUACAUAUGAAGUUUGAUUUGCUGCUUGUCCAUAUCGGAAAGAUAUAUUUGGUUUUUUCCUCAAACGUCACAUUUAUAACCAGUUUGAAUAACAUAUGCAUAUGAAUGUAACGAGCUUGGGAAAGGUUAGAAAAAAUCUGACAUCGCUAUUGGUCGUACCUUGUAAAAAGAUAUUUUAUGGUAAAGAAUAAGAGGUCGAACUAUAAAUUACAACCCAACGGUUUUGUCAGCUUUUUUGAACUUGGUUUUUGUUUUUUUUAAUUUUGUUUCAUUUCACCACAUUGUGAUAUGAAUCAUGCAGUACAUUCUAAAAUUACGACACUUUCUAGUAUAAAAUCCAUUAAUCAAACGCAUAACUUCUGAACUUUAAAAAAAAUAGGAUACGUGUGUCAGUGGUAUCAUAUACAUUUAAAAUCUCAAUUUAGCCAAUAUUUUUUACAUUUACAAGUCGUAAUAGUGAAAUGGCAUGCUGUACAUUGCCGAGACUUUCUAAAUCUGUUAAUUAUGCGGUGCUAGCUGAUUCUCUUUUUCUACAUACAUUACUUUCUUAUAAAUAUGUACACCUCCUGACGUGGAUUCUGACAGAUCCAAGGCCACCGGUGUCGAUAGAUGAUGGCAGACGAUCUCGGGAGGUGUACCUUGAUACAUGUAGUUCUGACAUACCUGUAUCCAAAUUCACAAUUUCAUAUGCUAUGCAGCUACUUUGUAAAACGUUGGAAGCCAAAAUUUUCUCUAAUACUUUCUUGUAAUUCAAACUUUUAACAACAUGUAUUAUCUUUUGUUCUAUCUAAACAAGAAAAACCUUUUUUUCUCAUGCACUUGUAGCAGAAUGUAGCACGGAAAUUAAUCGUUACGCGAACACUGCGUUAUUAUCGAGUAAAAUGCCCUGGCAUGAAUCGAAAACUCUUGGAAAAGUCCAUCCAUACAUGCUGAUCUAUUUAUCAUACAGCUUGUGAUUAUGCAGAGUGAUUUCCUAACGACUGCAUGGUCCGUCGUCUGCUCAAAUUUAAUUCGCCUGCGCUACAAUCGGAGAGCGGCUGUUUACCAGCGCAACCAAUUGUCUAUAACCUCAAAAUUUUGAUACAUUGUGAAUUAGGCACAAUUUCACCGACAACUGUCAAAAUUUUUGAAAUUACAUGCAUUGCGGCAAGUUGUUUAAAUUUAUGAGGGCUGGUCACCCUAGCAACUGUCGUUUUCGGGUUCCAGCGCGUGCAUAUUUAAUCUUGGCAGACAACGGACCAUGCAGUCCUUAGGAAUUCACGCUGUAUGCAAAAUCAUGGAGAUUGUUUCAUUCACCGACUUGACAAAUAAACAUCUUGCAACCAUGUAAUAAUUCUUUGGACUUCUACAUAUAUACAUGAACGUUCUACACCUCUGGUGUGUUUGCCUGGGAGCCACAAUUGAUAAUAUUAUUAUUAUUGAUUUUACUAUUAUCAUUAUUAUUAUUACUAUUAUUGCAGCAUAUAAUGCUACUGGAAUAUUCUUUUACACCCAAGCAACAUUUAUUUGCAUCAACAAAUUGUUAUUUUUUCAUCACCAACCUAUUCCAUUCAAUGUUAAAUAAUUAUAAAUAAACAUAAUAUAUUAACUAUUUUCAUUCAUGAAAAGCAUCGUUACCUGUACGACAAGUGAUCAUAAGAGCAUAAUAAACAAUCGCUCAUUAAAUGCAUUCUGUUGUUUUUCAUUUCACUACCCACCUACCAUCCAUCCAGCUACUGAUCAGUGCCAUCAUCUGGUCAUUAAUCAUCUUGACUUGGCUAGGUAGAAUCCUGAUUUUUAGAAUAGAAAAGAGUCUGGUUACACUGAUUAUUGAGAGUGAAAACAAGAUACGUUUGUCAGGAACAACCUGGAAAACUUUGGUCAUAAUAGGCUAGUAAAUCACCAAUGUUACAUUAUUCACCUUCACAUCAUUUAACGCACUUCAGAAAGACCACGUGACGGCGAAUUGUUUGCGAAAUGUCAAGGAACAUGUAAAAAAGAAAGUAACAAUGUACAUACAAUAAUAUUUAUAGUGAUCCCUGAUAUGUUUAUAGUAUACCCUAGCUAAUACGUUCUAUCACGAAUAAUGAAUUGCAGGAAAUAACAGAUAAAGAUUCAUUAAAUAUAAUUACACAUGUCCGAUUUAUCCAUAGCCUUCUGAAAGUAGGAAAAGUGUUUAUAAAUAUUGAUUCAAGAGACAGGUUCUUGUUAGUGCUG